UACGUAGGAUGCAAGCGUUGUCCGGAUUUACUGGGCGUAAAGAGCGCGCAGGCGGUCGAUCAAGUCGAGUGUGAAAGCCCCCGGCUCAACUGGGGAGGGUCAUUCGAUACUGAUCGACUCGAAGGCAGGAGAGGGUAGUGGAAUUCCCGGUGUAGUGGUGAAAUGCGUAGAUAUCGGGAGGAACACCAGUGGCGAAGGCGGCUACCUGGACCGGUUCUGACGCUGAUGCGCGAAAGCGUGGGUAGCAAACAGG
rnacentral:rRNA from 1 species